CAGCCGCCACGGUAAUACGAAGGGUGCAAGCGUUACUCGGAAUUACUGGGCGUAAAGCGUGCGUAGGUGGUGGUUUAAGUCCGUUGUGAAAGCCCUGGGCUCAACCUGGGAAUUGCAGUGGAUACUGGGUCACUAGAGUGUGGUAGAGGAUAGUGGAAUUUCCGGUGUAGCAGUGAAAUGCGUAGAUAUCCGGAGGAACACCGAUGGCGAAGGCAACUGCCUGGGCCUGAUCUGACACUGAGGCACGAAAGCGUGGGUAGCAAACAGGAUUAGAUACCCCCGUAGUCCCUGUCUCUUAUAC
rnacentral:rRNA from 1 species